GUGAGCAGAGAGGACAGCAGUCCUUAUGAGAUCAAGCUCUAAGUCUUGCUCUGUCACCCAGGCCUGGAGUGCAGUGGAGCAAUCUCAGCUCACUGCAGCCUCCGCCUCCCGGAUUCAAGUGAUUCUCCUGCUUCAGAUUCUCGAGUAGCUGGGAUUACAGUUUUGAGAAGAAUGCGAAGAAGAAAGGAAGAGUGAGCCUCUCUUUCCCAUCGUUACCCUCCAUUGUCCUCUUGACACCCUGCUUUCACAGAGAAAGAGUUUGAGACCCUCUCCCAGGAGCCAAGGAGAGGGGAACAGCUGGCUUCACAUCAUCUUUCUAUUCAACAAGAUACAAAAAGCUGAAGCCAGGAUGAUAGAAAAGCAACAAAGAAGACACGGUCCUUACUCAUUUCCCUUCCCACUUCAGAGCAAAUAUGGUGCCUGGUGUUCGAAGGGAGAACUUGUGGGCAGAGCAGGAAGCGUGAGUAUGGUUGAAGGAUCAAAUAUUUGGUUCAGGCAUCAGGGAGCCAGCAAGACUAUGAUGCUGGGAAACACAAGUGAUGUACUGUUGGAUUUAAUCUACUUGGAAAAAACCUAGGAAAACCAAAAUGUCAUCAACUAACACCUGAAAUGCCUCAGCACCAUCUGUCUCCAACAUUAAACAAAACCCACGAGAUUCCAGGAGAAAGAAAAUAGGAAAUUUAAUGAUGAACUUAACCUGAGUAACUUGAUAAAUGUUACCUUUGUGGCUAGCCAUUCACCAGCAAGUCCCUAAAAUGACCUGAAACCUGAAGAGUGUUUCACCCAUGAAAGGGUUUGCUCUCUCUGGGCAUGGCUACCCAGCACAUAUGUUAGUCAACUUUCUUUCCCUUGCAGGGCCCCUUGGAAAACUAGUUUGAAUCAUUCAUUAACUCAGCUCCACUCCUUCCCUUUCCCAUGGACCAUAGUUUCUUUGAGCAAUUAAAACUUAUAAGACACCAAAA
rnacentral:lncRNA from 10 species